rnacentral:rRNA from 1 species
CCUACGGGUGGCAGCAGUGAGGAAUAUUGGUCAAUGGUCGGGAGACUGAACCAGCCAAGCCGCGUGAGGGAGGAAGGUACAGAGUAUCGUAAACCUCUUUUGUCAGGGCACAAAGACUGGGACGCGUCCCCGGAUGAGUGUACCUGAAGAAAAAGCAUCGGCUAACUCCGUGCCAGCAGCCGCGGUAAUACGGAGGAUGCGAGCGUUAUCCGGUUUUAUUGGGUUUAAGGGGUGCGCGGGGGGUCUGAUAAGUCAGCGGGCAACGCCCGGGGCUCAACCCCGGCCCGCCGUUGAAACUGGCAGUCUCGAGUUGAAGAGAGGUAGGCGGAAUGCGCGGUGUAGCGGUGAAAUGCAUAGAGAUCGCGCAGAACUCCGAUUGCGAAGGCAGCAUGCCGGCUCCACACUGACGCUGAGGCACGAAAGCGUGGGUAUCGAACAGGAUUAGAUACCCGGGUAGUC